UUUUUCCUGCAUUUAUUAAGAAAUGCGGUAAAAUUAUAAAGAAGGUGCAACAUUAGUCUUAAAAUGGAUGUGUUAUAAUUGUUUUUCAUGCAUUUAUUAUGAAAUGUGUUAAAAUGGUAAAGUAGGUACCACAUUUAUCCUAAAGUAUUGUAUUUGUAUAUAUGUUUUACCCACAUUUAUUAAGAAAUACGGUAAAAUUACAAAGAAGGUGCAACAUAUGUUUUAAAAUGGAUGUGUUAUAAUUGAUUUUAUACGCUUUGAUUAUUU
rnacentral:lncRNA from 1 species